GGAUGAACGCUAGCUACAGGCUUAACACAUGCAAGUCGAGGGGCUGCAGGAUCUAGCAAUAGAUUGCUGGCGACCGGCGCACGGGUGAGUAACACGUAUCCAACCUGCCGAUAACUCGGGGAUAGCCUUUCGAAAGAAAGAUUAAUACCCGAUGGCAUAAUUAGACCGCAUGGUCUUAUUAUUAAAGAAUUUCGGUUAUCGAUGGGGAUGCGUUCCAUUAGGCAGUUGGUGAGGUAACGGCUCACCAAACCUUCGAUGGAUAGGGGUUCUGAGAGGAAGGUCCCCCACAUUGGAACUGAGACACGGUCCAAACUCCUACGGGAGGCAGCAGUGAGGAAUAUUGGUCAAUGGGCGUAGGCCUGAACCAGCCAAGUAGCGUGAAGGAUGACUGCCCUAUGGGUUGUAAACUUCUUUUAUAUGGGAAUAAAGUUUUCCACGUGUGGAAUUUUGUAUGUACCAUAUGAAUAAGGAUCGGCUAACUCCGUGCCAGCAGCCGCGGUAAUACGGAGGAUCCGAGCGUUAUCCGGAUUUAUUGGGUUUAAAGGGAGCGUAGGUGGACAGUUAAGUCAGUUGUGAAAGUUUGCGGCUCAACCGUAAAAUUGCAGUUGAUACUGGCUGUCUUGAGUACAGUAGAGGUGGGCGGAAUUCGUGGUGUAGCGGUGAAAUGCUUAGAUAUCACGAAGAACUCCGAUUGCGAAGGCAGCUCACUGGACUGCAACUGACACUGAUGCUCGAAAGUGUGGGUAUCAAACAGGAUUAGAUACCCUGGUAGUCCACACAGUAAACGAUGAAUACUCGCUGUUUGCGAUAUACAGUAAGCGGCCAAGCGAAAGCAUUAAGUAUUCCACCUGGGGAGUACGCCGGCAACGGUGAAACUCAAAGGAAUUGACGGGGGCCCGCACAGGCGGAGGAACAUGUGGUUUAAUUCGAUGAUACGCGAGGAACCUUACCCGGGCUUAAAUUGCAUUUGAAUAAUCUGGAAACAGGUUAGCCGUAAGGCAAAUGUGAAGGUGCUGCAUGGUUGUCGUCAGCUCGUGCCGUGAGGUGUCGGCUUAAGUGCCAUAACGAGCGCAACCCUUAUCUUUAGUUACUAACAGGUCAUGCUGAGGACUCUAGAGAGACUGCCGUCGUAAGAUGUGAGGAAGGUGGGGAUGACGUCAAAUCAGCACGGCCCUUACGUCCGGGGCUACACACGUGUUACAAUGGGGGGUACAGAAGGCAGCUACCUGGUGACAGGAUGCUAAUCCCAAAAGCCUCUCUCAGUUCGGAUCGAAGUCUGCAACCCGACUUCGUGAAGCUGGAUUCGCUAGUAAUCGCGCAUCAGCCAUGGCGCGGUGAAUACGUUCCCGGGCCUUGUACACACCGCCCGUCAAGCCAUGAAAGCCGGGGGUACCUGAAGUACGUAACCGCAAGGAGCGUCCUAGGGUAAAACUGGUAA
rnacentral:rRNA from 1 species